AACCCUAAAGUAAGCAUUCUUUAUUCUCCCCGCCCCCCCCCUUCCCUUCUCCCUCUUUAUCCGGCCCCACUCAUUCCGGGCCAAAGGUUGUUUAUUUCUCAUUACAGGUGGUUGCUGGAAUUUGAACUCAUGACCUCCAGAAGAGCAGUCGGACCACUGAGCCAUCUCAUCAGCCCUAAAGGCUGCAGAGGGUGUCUUCACCCAGAAGGAGUAAGAGUACCUCAUCAGAGAGGGAGGAAAGACGCUGGUAUGAAUGACUUGGUGAUUGGGAUGCAGGUGCCAGGAUGGAGGCAGGCGCUCCAGACUGCCUGUCAUUUACCACUGUCGCAUCUCCCUGAUCUUCUGCUCUCUGGGCGUGCUCCAGGAGACCUCUAACUGAUCCCACGUCUCAUCAUUUUGACCACUGAGAUCACCCAUCACAUUGUUCAGCUUCAACAUCCUACAAACUGAGGUAUUCAAUCUGUCUGGAGACCAGUCAUGGAUUGGAGGAGGAGACGGGAGAACAACUAGAAAAGCCAAACCAUAGGCAACAUGACCAAACUUGGAACAAACACAAUCUUCACUAGACAUGCCUGGAAUAACACACACCUCCUCAUAAUUACAUAAGGUAGCAACCCAUCCCAUAAAAAUGCAGACAGUGACUGCUUUGUGUCUGACACUGAUGGAGAGGUGAAGAGUGGGCACAUUGUUGUCGGACACAGUCUACAGGAACUCACCGAGAAGCUGGGUCUAGACGUAGGCUUGCCCCCGUACCCCGCAUUUCAGAAUCAACUACAUGUGUCUCAAAAUGUCCUUCUUGAUCCCUAGUCUUGGGAUGGGUUGCCUCCCAACUCUGUGACAGGGAAGGAAGAGAACAUCAGAACAGCCCGAGAGCGACAACUCUGUCCUUGAAAAGAGCUGGAAGGCAAGACUCUUCCAACAGAGGUACUAUUGUGUCUCCCAUGAUCUAAAAGAAAAUCUCCCAAUGGGAAGGAGAGGCUGGGAGUUCAGUCCUGAGAAGCUCGGCUACACAGAGAAAGCUCAAACCACAACUCCGACUACCUCAGCUUUCCAGGCGUGUUCUGCUAGAUUCUGUGAGCGGACUUGAUGAUGUAUUAUUGGGGGGGGGGUUGCUAUUUGUUCUUGGGAGGCUCACCCAAGGGGACUCAGCUCUGCCUGGGUCUCUCUCUAUUGGGAACUCCCCCAGGCUGCUUUAACUGGCUUCCCCAUGAUUUCUGCCCACUAUUUUGAAUAUCUGUUUGUUGGUUUGUUUUAUUCUUAAUGAACUCACUCAUUUAAAGC